UACAUGUGGGGCAAGCGUUGUUCGGAAUUACUGGGCGUAAAGGGCUCAUAGGCGGCCAACUAAGUCAGACGUGAAAUCCCUCGGCUUAACCGGGGAACUGCGUCUGAUACUGGAUGGCUUGAGUGUGAGAGAGGGAUGCGGAAUUCCACGUGUAGCAGUGAAAUGCGUAGAGAUGUGGAGGAACACCGAUGGCGAAGGCAGCCCCCUGGGUCAAGAUUGACGCUCAUGCACGAAAGCGUGGGGAGCAAACAGG
rnacentral:rRNA from 1 species